CAUUACAAGUGACCCCGGUCUAACCACCGGGAUGUUCAUAACCCUUUGUUGUCCGACUCUGUUGCCUCCGGGGCGACCCUGCCUUCGGGCGGGGGCUCCGGGUGGACACUUCAAACUCUUGCGUAACUUUGCAGUCUGAGUAAACUUAAUUAAUAAAUUAAAACUUUUAACAACGGAUCUCUUGGUUCUGGCAUCGAUGAAGAACGCAGCGAAAUGCGAUAAGUAAUGUGAAUUGCAGAAUUCAGUGAAUCAUCGAAUCUUUGAACGCACAUUGCGCCCCCUGGUAUUCCGGGGGGCAUGCCUGUUCGAGCGUCAUUUCACCACUCAAGCCUCGCUUGGUAUUGGGCAUCGCGGUCCGCCGCGUGCCUCAAAUCGACCGGCUGGGUCUUCUGUCCCCUAAGCGUUGUGGAAACUAUUCGCUAAAGGGUGUUCGGGAGGCUACGCCGUAAAACAACCCCAUUUCUAAGGUUGACCUCGGAUCAGGUAGGGAUACCC
rnacentral:rRNA from 1 species